rnacentral:rRNA from 1 species
CCUACGGGAGGCAGCAGUGGGGAAUAUUGCACAAUGGGGGAAACCCUGAUGCAGCAAUGCCGCGUGUGUGAAGAAGGCCUGCGGGUUGUAAAGCACUUUCAGUAGAGAAGAAAAGCUUACGGAUAAUACCUGUGAGUCUUGACAUUAACUACAGAAGAAGCACCGGCUAACUCCGUGCCAGCAGCCGCGGUAAUACGGAGGGUGCGAGCGUUAAUCGGAAUUACUGGGCGUAAAGCGCGCGUAGGCGGCUUGAUCAGUCGGAUGUGAAAGCCCCGGGCUUAACCUGGGAACUGCAUUCGAUACUGUCUGGCUAGAGUAUGGUAGAGGGAAGUGGAAUUCCGGGUGUAGCGGUGAAAUGCGUAGAUAUCCGGAGGAACACCAGUGGCGAAGGCGACUUCCUGGACCAAUACUGACGCUGAGGUGCGAAAGCGUGGGGAGCA